UACGAAGGGUGCAAGCGUUGCUCGGAAUUACUGGGCGUAAAGCGUGCGCAGGCGGUUUGUUAAGUCUGAUGUGAAAGCCCCGGGCUUAACCUGGGAAUGGCAUUGGAAACUGGCAAGCUUGAGUAUGGCAGAGGGGGGUGGAAUUCCGCGUGUAGCAGUGAAAUGCGUAGAGAUGCGGAGGAACACCGAUGGCGAAGGCAGCCCCCUGGGCCAAUACUGACGCUCAGGCACGAAAGCGUGGGGAGCAAACAGG
rnacentral:rRNA from 1 species